rnacentral:rRNA from 1 species
GAUGAACGCUAGCGGCAGGCCUAACACAUGCAAGUCGAGGGGGAAGUUACUCUCGGGUGACUGAGACCGGCGUACGGGUGCGUAACGCGUAUACAAUCUGCCUUUCACUGGGGGAUAGCCCGAAGAAAUUUGGAUUAAUACCCCAUAGUAUAUAGGGACGGCAUCGUUUUUAUAUUAAAGCUUAGGUGGUGAAAGAUGAGUAUGCGUUCUAUUAGCUAGUUGGAGAGGUAACGGCUCCCCAAGGCGAUGAUAGAUAGGGGUUCUGAGGGGGAUGUCCCCCACACUGGUACUGAGAUACGGACCAGACUCCUACGGGAGGCAGCAGUGAGGAAUAUUGGACAAUGGUCGGAAGACUGAUCCAGCCAUGCCGCGUGCAGGAUGAAGGUCUUAUGGAUUGUAAACUGCUUUUGGAAGGGAAGAAUAAGGGCUACGCGUAGUUUGAUGACGGUACCUUACGAAUAAGCAUCGGCUAACUCCGUG